rnacentral:rRNA from 1 species
GUGAACGCUGGCGGCAUGUCUAAGGCAUGCAAGUCUAGGGGUAGUUUACUACCCCGGCAAACGGGUGCGUAACACAUUGGUAAUCUGCCUCGAACUCGGGUAUAACCCAGAGAAAUUUGGGACAAUCCCCGAUAGUCAUGGGGGGACAUAAGUCAUUCCCAUGUAAAGUUCCGACGGUUCGAGAGGAGCCUAUGGCCCAUCAGCUAGUUGGUAGGGUAAAAGCCUACCAAGGCUAUGACGGGUAGCGGGUGUGAGAGCACGACCCGCCUCACUGGGACUGAGACACUGCCCAGACUCCUACGGGAGGCUGCAGUCGAGAAUCUUCCUCAAUGGCCGAAAGGCUGAAGGAGCAAUGCCGCGUGAUCGAAGAAGCCCUUCGGGGUGUAAAGAUCUUUUCUGAGGGAAGAAUUAGUGACGGUACCUCAGGAAUAAGUCACUGCUAACUUCGU